ACCCUAUUAGCUGUGUGGGAGGAAGAAGGUGCUGUGGCAGGUUCAGCUGCAACAUCUUGCCCAGCGCUGCGGAGCCACUAAGUGAAGGAACAAACUUGUGAAGUAAAUACAUACUUGCCCCUCAAGCCUCAACUCCAGUGCUGAUGCUGCCAAGCCCUCCCUGCUCAUCACAGUCAGUCAGAACUGGAGGUCUCUCAGUCUGCCCGGUCUUGACUAGGA